UACGUAGGGUCCGAGCGUUGUCCGGAGUUACUGGGCGUAAAGCGCGCGCAGGCGGCGGUAUAAGCAUGGCGUGAAAGCCCCAGGCUCAACCUGGGAGGGUCGUCGUGGACUGUACCGCUUGAGGGCGAUAGGGGCUGGUGGAAUGCCUGGUGUAGUGGUGAAAUGCGUAGAUAUCAGGAGGAACACCUGCGGUGUAGACGCUUUCUGGACCUUACUGACACUGAGACAGAAGGCGUGGGUAGCAAACAAG
rnacentral:rRNA from 1 species